UACGUAGGGUGCAGGCGUUAAUCGGAAUUACUGGGCGUAAAGCGUGCGCAGGCGGCUUCCUAAGUCAGAUGUGAAAUCCCCGGGCUUAACCUGGGAACUGCGUUUGAAACUGGGAGGCUCGAGUGCGGCAGAGGGGGGUGGAAUUCCACGUGUAGCAGUGAAAUGCGUAGAUAUGUGGAGGAACACCGAUGGCGAAGGCAGCCCCCUGGGCCUGCACUGACGCUCAUGCACGAAAGCGUGGGGAGCAAACAGG
rnacentral:rRNA from 1 species